rnacentral:rRNA from 1 species
UACAGAGGUCCCAAGCGUUGUUCGGAUUCAUUGGGCGUAAAGGGUGCGUAGGCGGCGCGGUAAGUCGGGGUGUGAAAUCUCGGGAGCUUAACUCCGAAACUGCAUUCGAUACUGCCGUGCUUGAGGGACUGGAGAGGAGGACUGGAAUUUACGGUGUAGCGGUGAAAUGCGUAGAUAUCGUAAGGAAGACCAGUGGCGAAGGCGG